ensembl:lncRNA
GGACACCCUUCUGAAGAAAGACGCUACCUUCUCUACAGUCCAGGCGACUAAACAAGGCACACGUAGGAUGUGGUGUUUGUCUAAGGUCCUCAGUGAGUGAUGUCAGAGUCCACAAUGAGACUCUGAACUCAGAAUCCGUGCUCCUAGCACCUGCUUUGCCGCUGACACACGAGAUCAGUCCCCGUGGAAAGCUUGGAGAGGUCGAGGCUCUAGCGCCGUAAUUAAUGAGCAUCAGGUUUCCUGAACUGGUAUGUCCGCCUCACAGCCUUGGAGCUGCACAAAUUCAGGGAGAACUAUGAAUGCAGCCCCACACAAAACUGAAGACUUAACUAAAACCUGAGGAUAUUACUGCUAUGUGGCUUUGCAGCACAGCAAAUCAUAAACCACACUGUACAGAAUCACCAGCAGGACUGGACUGAUGUUAUGGAAGGCACCACCAUGCUUAUUGCAUUACCAGAGAACAAAAUACAG